GUUGCAUCCUGAGCAGCGGAACCCGUGAUCUAAGGCUGCUCCCGUCCAGGGUAAGGAAGCGGGAGGCAUCUUCUGGCCGACUCCCUUUCUCAUUGGCUGGACCAUGUUCCCGGGGUGUUCAUGUCCAGCCCUUCCAGCCCCCUCCCUGUGAGCAGAGGCCACCAGCAGGCCCAGGGAGGGCCAGGUCAAGGAGGCCCUGGGGGCAGUGAGUUCAGGCACCACCCAGGCCCACUUCGGCCCAACCCUCCUGCUUCAAGGCAGUGGCCUGUCACAAGUCCUAAAAAAUAACCUGCAACAUGGUGAGGGGGACAAGUGCACUCUCUGCUGCCUUGGAGAGCCCCAGGGCCAUAGCUGACACCCACCUCUCUGUCGUCUACCGGCCCUUCUAGAUCCCCCUCACCUUGGCCAGCAUUUCUGCUGAGGGUGGUGACCUUCCUGGUGGACCGACAGGCUGUCCAUCCUGAGGCUCUGAGCCCUCGUGAGCCCAUGGUUGAUGCAAAUGCCCGUUCAGCCAUUCCCACACCCAGCGCCUAUGGGCGCCACCCGAGUCCUUUGGUUUCCAAGUUCCUCUCUGCCCCUGCUAUACCGCGGUGACCCUCCUCAGGGUGAUCCGGGUCCAUUGUCCCUGUUAGUACAGAGACUUCCUUAUUUGCUUCUUCCAGCAUAAGAACCCCAGAUAACCAGUGGAGCUGUUCACUGGAUGCUCAGCGGUGCCCCAGGGGACUCCCCUUCCCCAACAGGAAGCGAGGCCUCUAAUCCAAGAAGACUGUAAAGUUGGUUAGAAGCACAGGUUGAUGAGUCGCUGGGAAUUAUUAUAACAGGGUCCACCCCGGCCUUCAUCUUUGGUUCCUGGAACACCACACCUAUCCUGGCCUUUGGUCCAAAGCAUAGACCAUCUCUUGAAACUCUGAGUCCCAAUACCUCGGGGCGUCUUCCCCAAAGUGGCACCUCAGGUGUCACUUUAAGAGUUCAUCCCAACAUUCCGCUGUAUGUGGAGUUGAUGGCGGGCCCUCUGGCCCUGUCCACUGUCCCACCUCAGGCCGCGGUGCUAGCUGAGGCGCAUGUCAAGAGAAGCACACUAGUUGCUGCUCUAUUAGUCCAUUUUCUGUUGCUAUAACAAACUAUCAGAGACUGAGUACUUUAUAAAGGAGAGAGGUUGGUUAGCUCACGGUUUGGGAGGCUGAAAAUGUGUGACUGGACUGUCCCACCGGCUCGGGCUCUGGUGAGGGCGCCUUGGCUGGGUCACAGCGUGGUGGAGGAGCGGAAAGAUGUGUGAAUGGCCAAGUGCAAGGGGUGGUCUGCUUUGUAACCACCUGCUCUCAUGAGUGCUAACCCACUCUGCAGGGGCAGCAUUAAUCCCGCCAAAAAGCCGUUCCCCUCAGCACCCACCCUCCUCCCUCGGGGCCCUGCCUCCCAAGGGUUCCACCCCCUCCACACGGAGGUCCCAGCUCCCCACACUCGAGUCUGAGGGACACUCACACCUUGUCCAAGUCGCCUCCUCCCUUCUCAUGCUCCCCCAUACGUCACCCCCCGACUUUUCCAGGCCACUUUUCUGCUCCUGCUUCUUUCCGGGUCCCUCACCGUCCAGCCUGACCAUCUACCCCUGCCAGGGUCUGUGCAUGUCCCCCCUGAGCGGAUGGCCAGCUUCGAGGCUGGAGCUGGCUGACUGGACCCAGGCCUCAGCGCUGUCCAGCGGCUGGAGGGCGGCAGCUGCCCCUUUUUAUUUGCCCCGACUCAUCCAGCCAACCCUGCCUGAGUGGCGCCCGGGGUUCCCCACCUGCUGUUGUCUGGCUGACAGUGGCUGAGGGGUGGCCGCGAGCCAGAGAGCUGUGGGGUCUGGGUCACCUGUCAGGCACGUUCCAUUCUCAUCAGUGGGAGGUUCCUGUGAUGCCAAACCUCCCCCGUCGCAUGGCCUCCUGUCCACCCCAAGGUCACGCUCAGCCUGUCUCAGCGCCCAGUGGCUCUCCAUGAGCCGCUUUUCAAAUGGCUGAUGACUCUCUGCUGCAGGUGGGAGCCCGGCUGCGGAGCCCACGCUGUCCAUCUCCUGCCCGGGAUUUCCAAAGACUCCCCACGGUGGCCUUCUGCACCACGGUGGACCCACAUCACUGGACGCAGAUGGCACAGCCCAGGGGCAGAGUUACCGGGUCUGGCACCUGAACCCCCUGGAGAGGAGUCCUCGCCGAGGCCCAACAGAAGUGGCACUGUCCCAGUAUCCUGACAAACGGUUUGGAGCAGUGCUUCCUGGUGUCCUUCAUGGGUCAUCUCCAAAGUCCAAAGAGGCAGAUCAAGCACUGUGCCUUUUCCUGGUGGCCGAAGACGCCGGAUAAAGUGACUCAUCUGUCUCGGAAGGACCCGCCCCUUUGAGGCUCCAAGAACCUCACUGAGGCGUCAGAUGUCAGCCUUCGAAGGGCUCGUCUGCCACCCUCUGUACCGCAGGGAGGUCUUACAAGGGACCCGGGAGACGUCCCACUUCCUGCUCAUCAGGUGUGAUGAGCACAAAAUCUUCAAUGUCCUGUGUCAGUCUGCUGCUCUACGGAGUGUCCGUGAUGAAGGUCCCUGCAAAUGCAAACUGCUGUCUUAUCUUAGGUAGCUGCAGAUCACUUCUGAUACGUCUUCCUCACGGGGCCUGCAAAGGGCAUGCUCACCCAGUCUACAGCUUCAUUCCAAAUCCCAGAGGCUGUGUUGAUCUGCUCCACUGCAGAGAGAAUGCAUGUCACGACGGCAGCUUGGGGCUACCACUGGGUCACGUUCACCGUGAUCCAUCCCCAUCGGCUAUGAUUGGGGUAGUUUUGUGAGGGCCCCAGCGGUGCAUCACACAGGGCUACGGGGGACCACCUUCCCUGCCUUCUGUAAGUGAUCAAAGGGGACACUAGCUCUGACUGACAGCCUUUGUGCUGUUGCUCCUGGUUUUCCAUCUCGUAAGUGUGUCCACCCUCAGUACUCACUCAAGGACAGAAGAAAUGUCCCCAGGACGGUUCUCCAGGCUCACGGACUUCCUGUGGAUGGAUUUGGGCUGGACUUCACUUCUCUCUUGGAUUCUGUGAACCCCCUUCUGACAGGGAGAGUCAGGAAUUUGGGGUCUCCUGGUAUGGGUGUCAGCUCUGACCCUGUUCCCAGCAGUCCUGAGAGUCCUGGCUAUUCCCCUUCCCCUGCAUCAGAGCUGUCUGAUAAAUGACCGUAAGGAAGGAUCAAGACAAUCCUGGACCAAAGGAUCACGACUUUCAAGGUCCUUCAAAUAAACCAAAUAAACCUAAUAAAUG
rnacentral:lncRNA from 1 species